CUUCUUCUUCUUCUCCUUCUUCUCCUUCUUCUUCCAUUCUGUCUGUCUCUCUCUCUCUGAUUCGCGAAUACACAAGGCAAGUGAAAUAGAAACAUGCAAAGCACUGUAUACGCAUGGGGAGUGGCGAUUCUUUGCUUCGUGGUGUUGAUGAUUGUCACUCCUGCUAUUCCUCAAUCUGAAAAAUACCACGAUUUCGCUGAUAAACGCGAAUUCUUCGGAAUACCCAAUACUCUGGAUGUGAUUUCGAAUUUUCCUUUCCUUGUU
rnacentral:misc_RNA from 1 species